AUAUUUACCUGGAAAGGGAGAUAUGAGCAUGAAGGUGGUUUUCCCUCGUUGAUGCUUAUUUAUUGUACCCUGAAUCUGCUAACCCCUGCAGUACCUCCAAAUGUGGUAAACUCAAAUGCAGGGUUUUUUUUUUUUUUUUGGUAGUAGGAAUUGUUUAUGCACUAUCCUAU
rnacentral:snRNA from 1 species